GUAGUCUCGCACAGAUGCAUAUCAAUAAGCGGAGGAAAAGAAACUAACAAGGAUUCCCUCAGUAACGGCGAGUGAAGCGGGAAGAGCUCAAAUUUGAAAUCUUGAAAGGUCACCUUUCACGAAUUGUAGUUUAAAGAAGUGUUUUCUGUUACGAUCGUAAUAUAAGUUCUUUGGAAUAGGACAUCACAGAGGGUGAGAAUCCCGUCUAUGAUUGCGAUUUGUAGCUUUGUGAUACACUUUCAAAGAGUCGGGUUGUUUGGGAAUGCAGCCCAAAACGGGAGGUAAAUUUCUUCUAAGGCUAAAUAUUGGCGAGAGACCGAUAGCGAACAAGUACCGUGAGGGAAAGAUGAAAAGAACUUUGAAAAGAGAGUUAAAUAGUACGUGAAAUUGUCAAAAGGGAAGCGUUUAACACCAGUGUUGUUUUCUGAAAAUCAACCUCUGUUAGCUUUAUGCAUGUUUGUUUAGACCUAAUCAGCUAUCUUGCAUGUUCUAUUGUUUGCAGUGGUGCACUUUUCAGUUUACAGGUCAACAUCAGUUUUUUUUACCGUAAAAAAGUUAAAGAAAGGUAGCUCAUGGCUCCGGUCGUGAGUGUUAUAGUCUUUUUCCUAUGCGGUAGGAGAGACUGAGGUCUGCAGUGUAGGCUAUUUGGCUAGAUACUCAGGUGCUUAUGUGAUACCAUUUCAUAAACAACUUGUUGAUUAUGUUUUGUCUAUUGCAUACUCGCUUGUACUAUCAUACCUACGCUUAGGAUGUUGAAGAUGUAGCACAUCAU
rnacentral:rRNA from 1 species